CCUGCCCUGCUGGGUAAGAGUCUGCCCGAGACAGGCCAGCUGAUCCAAACAUAGGCUCAUUGGAUCCCCUUUGAUCAAGGGCAUGUCUGGAAGGAAGAUUC